UUCACUCAGUCAUUCUUAGUUUUCUUUUCAAGAUUCCCAAAUAGUAAAAUUCAGCCAAAUUUGAUUUACAAAAAAAAAAAAAACAAAACAAAAAAAAAAAAACCAUGACCAAAACCGAGUGCGAUUUAUCCCAGGAAUGCUAAGUUGGUUCAAUACCUGAUAAUCAAAUUAAUAUAAUACAUAUAUAAUAUAUAAUAAAGUACAAAAAAACUCACAUGAUUAUCUCAGAAAAGGCAGAAGAAGCAUUUGACAGAAUCCAAAGACUCCUUUAUAAUAAAAGCCCUCAACAAAUUAGGAGUGGAAUGGAACUUCCUCAACCUGGUGAAGGACAUAUACAAAACACAGCUGACGUCAUACUUAAAUGUGAAAGGUCGGAUGCUUUCCCCCUAAGAUCAGGAACAAAAUAAGGAUGUUUACUCUCAUCUCUUCUACUUGGCAUUGUACUGGAAGUUCUAGCUAGGGCAGUUGGCAAGAAAAAUAAAUAAAAGGUAUCCAGAUUGAAAAGGAAGAAGUAAGACUAUCUAUUCACAGAUUCCAUGAUCUUGUUGUCUUAAUCCAUUCAGGGUGCUAUAGCAAAAUACCACAGACUGGGUGGCUUAUAAACAACAGAAAUUUAUUGCUCACAGGUCUGGAGGCUGGGAAGUCCAAGAUCAAGGUGCCAACAUGGUCACCUUCUGGUGAAGGCCCUCUUCCUGGUUCAUAGCCGGCACCUUCUUGCUGUGUCCUCACAUGGUGGAAGAGGUGUGGGGUGUCUCUGGAGCCUCUGUUGUAAGGGCACCAGUCCCACUCAUGGGAGCUCCAUCCUCAUGAUGCCGGAACAAUGUGUAUCUGUUGAGUAAAUGAGGGAACAAACUUCUUUUCUGAAAUGGUGGAGUGAAUGGAUCCCUCUUUAUCCUCAUCACAGCCUUGCCGCGUAGGAAGGAACUGGUCUCGGGGGAGCAUGGCUCAGGCUUGGCGUCCCCUCUGUUCGCUGUGGCUGUACAAGAAUGUCUGUAGCUCCUUGAGCCUCUUCCGUCGGGUUCUUAUGAGGCUAAGUGACAUAAGGCCUCACUUGUAUUAGGCAAUUUAAAUGACAGCUAUUAAUCAUUAUUAGUUAUAACAAUUUUAUCGGUUUUGGGGGGAAAAUGUGAGUAUACUUGUUAUAUAUGUCUGUCAGUAGUUCAGCAUCUUUGAUGAAAUAGCUGCUUUGAUUUAUAGAAAAUGCAAAGUUUUGCUGUAGUUACUCAGCUAUACCACAGGCAGACAUGAGUGUAGAAUGCACUUCUCAUUUCUAAUGACAAAUUAAAUGUACAGUUGAACGUGA